ACGAACGCUGGCGGCGUGCCUAAUACAUGCAAGUUGAGCGCUGAAGGUUGGUACUUGUACCAACUGGAUGAGCAGCGAACGGGUGAGUAACGCGUGGGGAAUCUGCCUUUGAGCGGGGGACAACAUUUGGAAACGAAUGCUAAUACCGCAUAAAAACUUUAAACACAAGUUUUAAGUUUGAAAGAUGCAAUUGCAUCACUCAAAGAUGAUCCCGCGUUGUAUUAGCUAGUUGGUGAGGUAAAGGCUCACCAAGGCGAUGAUACAUAGCCGACCUGAGAGGGUGAUCGGCCACAGUGGGACUGAGACACGCCCCAAACUCCUACGGGAGGCAGCAGUAGGGAAUCUUCGGCAAUGGACGAAAGUCUGACCGAGCAACGCCGCGUGAGUGAAGAAGGUUUUCGGAUCGUAAAACUCUGUUGGUAGAGAAGAACGUUGGUGAGAGUGGAAAGCUCAUCAAGUGACGGUAACUACCCAGAAAGGGACGGCUAACUACGUG
rnacentral:rRNA from 1 species